UACAGAGGUCUCAAGCGUUGUUCGGAUUCAGUUGGGCGUAAAGGGUGCGUAGGUGGCGAGGUUAGUCAGGGUGUGAAAUCUCGGGGCUCAACCCCGAAACUGCACUUGAUACUGCCUUGCUAGAGUACUGGAGAGGAGAUUGGAAUUUGACGGUGUAGCAGUGAAAUGCGUAGAUAUCGUAAGGAAGACCAGUGGCGAAGGCGGAAUC
rnacentral:rRNA from 1 species